rnacentral:rRNA from 1 species
GGGUUGUGAGGUUAAGCGACUAAGCGUACACGGUGGAUGCCCUGGCAGUCAGAGGCGAUGAAGGGCGUGCUAAUCUGCGAUAAGCGCCGGUAAGGUGAUAUGAACCGUUAUAACCGGCGAUACCCGAAUGGGGAAACCCAGUGUGAUUCGUCACACUAUCAUUAACUGAAUCCAUAGGUUAAUGAGGCGAACCGGGGGAACUGAAACAUCUAAGUACCCCGAGGAAAAGAAAUCAACCGAGAUUCCCCCAGUAGCGGCGAGCGAACGGGGAGGAGCCCAGAGCCUGAAUCAGCAUGUGUGUUAGUGGAAGCGUCUGGAAAGGCGCGCGAUACAGGGUGACAGCCCCGUACACAAAAGCGCAUGUGCUGUGAGCUCGAUGAGUAGGGCGGGACACGUGGUAUCCUGUCUGAAUAUGGGGGGACCAUCCUCCAAGGCUAAAUACUCCUGACUGACCGAUAGUGAACCAGUACCGUGAGGGAAAGGCGAAAAGAACCCCGGCGAGGGGAGUGAAAAAGAACCUGAAACCGUGUACGUACAAGCAGUGGGAGCACNNNNNNNNNNNNNNNNNNNCGUACCUUUUGUAUAAUGGGUCAGCGACUUAUAUUCUGUAGCAAGGUUAACCGAAUAGGGGAGCCGGAGGGAAACCGAGUCUUAAUUGGGCGUUAAGUUGCAGGGUAUAGACCCGAAACCCGGUGAUCUAGCCAUGGGCAGGUUGAAGGUUGGGUAACACUAACUGGAGGACCGAACCGACUAAUGUUGAAAAAUUAGCGGAUGACCUGUGGCUGGGGGUGAAAGGCCAAUCAAACCGGGAGAUAGCUGGUUCUCCCCGAAAGCUAUUUAGGUAGCGCCUCGUGAAUUCAUCUCCGGGGGUAGAGCACUGUUUCGGCUAGGGGGCCAUCCCGGCUUACCAACCCGAUGCAAACUGCGAAUACCGGAGAAUGUUAUCACGGGAGACACACGGCGGGUGCUAACGUCCGUCGUGAAGAGGGAAACAACCCAGACCGCCAGCUAAGGUCCCAAAGUCAUGGUUAAGUGGGAAACGAUGUGGGAAGGCCCAGACAGCCAGGAUGUUGGCUUAGAAGCAGCCAUCAUUUAAAGAAAGCGUAAUAGCUCACUGGUCGAGUCGGCCUGCGCGGAAGAUGUAACGGGGCUAAACCAUGCACCGAAGCUGCGGCAGCGACACUGUGUGUUGUUGGGUAGGGGAGCGUUCUGUAAGCCUGUGAAGGUGUGUCGUGAGGCAUGCUGGAGGUAUCAGAAGUGCGAAUGCUGACAUAAGUAACGAUAAAGCGGGUGAAAAGCCCGCUCGCCGGAAGACCAAGGGUUCCUGUCCAACGUUAAUCGGGGCAGGGUGAGUCGACCCCUAAGGCGAGGCCGAAAGGCGUAGUCGAUGGGAAACGGGUUAAUAUUCCCGUACUUGGUGUUACUGCGAAGGGGGGACGGAGAAGGCUAUGUUGGCCGGGCGACGGUUGUCCCGGUUUAAGCGUGUAGGUGUGUGUUCCAGGUAAAUCCGGUUCACUUUAACACUGAGGCGUGACGACGAGGCACUACGGUGCUGAAGCAACAAAUGCCCUGCUUCCAGGAAAAGCCUCUAAGCAUCAGGUAACAUCAAAUCGUACCCCAAACCGACACAGGUGGUCAGGUAGAGAAUACCAAGGCGCUUGAGAGAACUCGGGUGAAGGAACUAGGCAAAAUGGUGCCGUAACUUCGGGAGAAGGCACGCUGACACGUAGGUGAAGUGAUUUACUCAUGGAGCUGAAGUCAGUCGAAGAUACCAGCUGGCUGCAACUGUUUAUUAAAAACACAGCACUGUGCAAACACGAAAGUGGACGUAUACGGUGUGACGCCUGCCCGGUGCCGGAAGGUUAAUUGAUGGGGUCAGCGCAAGCGAAGCUCCUGAUCGAAGCCCCGGUAAACGGCGGCCGUAACUAUAACGGUCCUAAGGUAGCGAAAUUCCUUGUCGGGUAAGUUCCGACCUGCACGAAUGGCGUAAUGAUGGCCAGGCUGUCUCCACCCGAGACUCAGUGAAAUUGAACUCGCUGUGAAGAUGCAGUGUACCCGCGGCAAGACGGAAAGACCCCGUGAACCUUUACUAUAGCUUGACACUGAACAUUGAGCCUUGAUGUGUAGGAUAGGUGGGAGGCUUUGAAGUGUGGACGCCAGUCUGCAUGGAGCCGACCUUGAAAUACCACCCUUUAAUGUUUGAUGUUCUAACGUGGACCCGUUACCCGGGUUGCGGACAGUGUCUGGUGGGUAGUUUGACUGGGGCGGUCUCCUCCUAAAGAGUAACGGAGGAGCACGAAGGUUGGCUAAUCCUGGUCGGACAUCAGGAGGUUAGUGCAAUGGCAUAAGCCAGCUUGACUGCGAGCGUGACGGCGCGAGCAGGUGCGAAAGCAGGUCAUAGUGAUCCGGUGGUUCUGAAUGGAAGGGCCAUCGCUCAACGGAUAAAAGGUACUCCGGGGAUAACAGGCUGAUACCGCCCAAGAGUUCAUAUCGACGGCGGUGUUUGGCACCUCGAUGUCGGCUCAUCACAUCCUGGGGCUGAAGUAGGUCCCAAGGGUAUGGCUGUUCGCCAUUUAAAGUGGUACGCGAGCUGGGUUUAGAACGUCGUGAGACAGUUCGGUCCCUAUCUGCCGUGGGCGCUGGAGAACUGAGGGGGGCUGCUCCUAGUACGAGAGGACCGGAGUGGACGCAUCACUGGUGUUCGGGUUGUCAUGCCAAUGGCACUGCCCGGUAGCUAAAUGCGGAAGAGAUAAGUGCUGAAAGCAUCUAAGCACGAAACUUGCCCCGAGAUGAGUUCUCCCUGAGACUUAGAGUCUCCUGAAGGAACGUUGAAGACGACGACGUUGAUAGGCCGGGUGUGUAAGCGCAGCGAUGCGUUGAGCUAACCGGUACUAAUGAACCGUGAGGCUUAACCUUACAACGCCGAAG